rnacentral:rRNA from 1 species
UACGUAGGGUGCAGGCGUUAAUCGGAAUUACUGGGCGUAAAGCGUGCGCAGGCGGUCUUUUAAGUCAGAUGUGAAAUCCCCGGGCUUAACCUGGGAACUGCGUCCGAUACUGGCAGGCUUGAAUCCGGGAGAGGGAUGCGGAAUUCCAGGUGUAGCGGUGAAAUGCGUAGAUAUCUGGAGGAACACCGGUGGCGAAGGCGGCAUCCUGGACCGGCAUUGACGCUGAGGCGCGAAAGCCAGGGGAGCAAAGCGGGG